rnacentral:rRNA from 1 species
UACAGAGGGUGCGAGCGUUGUCCGGAAUUACUGGGCGUAAAGGGCGCGUAGGCGGCCUUCUAAGUCGGACGUGAAAUCCCUCGGCUUAACCGAGGAACUGCGUCCGAUACUGAAAGGCUUGAAUCCGGGAGAGGGAUGUGGAAUUCCAGGUGUAGCGGUGAAAUGCGUAGAUAUCUGGAGGAACACCGGUGGCGAAGGCGGCAUCCUGGACCGGCAUUGACGCUGAGGCGCGAAAGCUAGGGGAGCAAACGGG